GACGGGGUCUGUGUGGCGAGGGAGGGGACCCGGGGUUGGAGACUGGCGGCGAGCGACUGCUAGAUGCGGAGCAGGUGCUUGGGAGGGGAAGAACGGCAGCCUACAUAACCAUCGCCGUAAUGCUCUCGCAAGCGUCCACCUGGGCAGGGCUCGGUGCCGGGCAGGCGCAGCUGCCAGUUAGCUGCGAGGCAUGGUCAGGAGCCUUCACCCGUCCUGGGCGAAGGAGGCUGUCCCGUCGACUAAACUCUGAUAUUAAGACUUGGCGCUGGGGGUGGGGAGUUGAAUUACGUUAAAAAGUCACUUAAGCGCCUUCCAACUCUAAGGAGAAGUACUUAUCUGAGCUUUGGGGCACACACAACUACUACUUGGCAUGGAGAGUUUCUCAGCUUCAUGUGUUCCGUCUGCUAUUGAAGCUGUAUUGGAAAGUCGGUUCUUGUUUUUAUCUGAGCCCGCCGUUUUCAUCCCAUUCUUUUCGUCAAAAAUAUGUUACAUCUGAAAGAGGCAGAUGAAAAGAUUAUUCUAUGCUAAGAGGGUUUUGCAGCCCGAUAAUGUCACCGUUUGUUGUUGUUGUUGUUGUUGUUGUAGGAUCGGGGUUCAUUUGCAGUCUUUUUUGUGGGUGAGCAGAGGCAGGGGCCAAUAAAUAAAUUAAGGCGGGAUAUUUGGAGUUAUUUGGUUGUAAUAAAAUAUGUGGUUCAACCCA
rnacentral:lncRNA from 1 species